rnacentral:rRNA from 1 species
AGUGAACGCUGGCGGUAGGCCUAACACAUGCAAGUCGAACGGCAGCACAGUAAGAGCUUGCUCUUACGGGUGGCGAGUGGCGGACGGGUGAGGAAUACAUCGGAAUCUACUUUUUCGUGAGGGAUAACGUAGGGAAACUUACGCUAAUACCGCAUACGACCUACGGGUGAAAGCAGGGGAUCUUCGGACCUUGCGCGAUUGAAUGAGCCGAUGUCGGAUUAGCUAGUUGGCGGGGUAAAGGCCCACCAAGGCGACGAUCCGUAGCUGGUCUGAGAGGAUGAUCAGCCACACUGGAACUGAGACACGGUCCAGACUCCUACGGGAGGCAGCAGUGGGGAAUAUUGGACAAUGGGCGCAAGCCUGAUCCAGCCAUACCGCGUGGGUGAAGAAGGCCUUCGGGUUGUAAAGCCCUUUUGUUGGGAAAGAAAAGCGGCAGGUUAAUACCCCGCUGUUCUGACGGUACCCAAAGAAUAAGCACCGGCUAACUUCGUG